rnacentral:rRNA from 1 species
UACGGGGGGGGCAAGCGUUGUUCGGAAUUACUGGGCGUAAAGGGCUCGUAGGCGGCCAACUAAGUCAGACGUGAAAUCCCUCGGCUUAACCGGGGAACUGCGUCUGAUACUGGAUGGCUGGAGGUUGGGAGAGGGAUGCGGAAUUCCAGGUGUAGCGGUGAAAUGCGUAGAUAUCUGGAGGAACACCGGUGGCGAAGGCGGCAUCCUGGACCGGCAUUGACGCUGAGGAGCGAAAGCCAGGGGAGCAAACGGG